rnacentral:ncRNA from 1 species
GUUUGCAGGUUAUCCCGUGGCCUGAGUGGUAGAAGCAAAGCUACUGCUAGUCACUAUUAGUGGCGAUGUCUCCAAAUUGCGUGAAACCCGUCAUACAGCUUCAAGUACCACUUCAAUUGAGAAAUCUUUUGAAGGAACAGAGGUAACUCCUCUUCCCAAUGGUAAAAAGCUUGAAGACAUGGUGGCAAUGCGCAGCCAAGCUCCUAAGUAUUUUAAAUAUAAGGAGAAGGUUCAGAGAGCAGACGGAGAUGGGCGGUAAUUAUCGCCGCUUAAGGUGUGCUCCAGCCUCAUUCGAAAGAUUGAG